UACGGGGGGGGCAAGCGUUGUUCGGAAUUACUGGGCGUAAAGGGCUCGUAGGUGGCCAACUAAGUCGGACGUGAAAUCCCUCAGCUUAACUGGGGAACUGCGUCCGAUACUGGAUGGCUCGAGUUUGGGAGAGGGAUGCGGAAUUCCAGGUGUAGCGGUGAAAUGCGUAGAUAUCUGCAGGAACACCCGUGGCGAAAGCGGCGCGCUGGACCACUACUGACGCUGAGGAACGAAAGCUAGGGGAGCAAACAGG
rnacentral:rRNA from 1 species